rnacentral:rRNA from 1 species
CAGUCGCCGCGGUAAUACGGAGGGUGCAAGCGUUAUCCGGAUUUAUUGGGUUUAAAGGGUCCGUAGGCGGACUUAUAAGUCAGUGGUGAAAGCCUGUCGCUUAACGAUAGAACUGCCAUUGAUACUGUAAGUCUUGAGUAUAUUUGAGGUAGCUGGAAUAAGUAGUGUAGCGGUGAAAUGCAUAGAUAUUACUUAGAACACCAAUUGCGAAGGCAGGUUACCAAGAUAUAACUGACGCUGAGGGACGAAAGCGUGGGUAGCGAACAGGAUUAGAUACCCGUGUAGUCCCUGUCUCUUAUAC